rnacentral:rRNA from 1 species
CAAUAGCGUAUAUUAAAGUUGUUGCGGUUAAAAAGCUCGUAGUUGGAUUUCUGUUGAGGACGGCCGGUCCGCACUAUGUGCGUGUAUCUGGUUCGGCCUCGGCAUCCUCUCGAAAGCCGUUUCUGCGCUUGAUUGCGUGGUUCGGACUUCGGGACUUUUACUUUGAGGAAAUUAGAGUGUUCACGGCAGGCAAGCGCCUUGAAUAUAUUAGCAUGGAAUAAUAAUAUAGGAUCUUGGUCCUAUUUUGUUGGUUUCUAGGGCUAAGAUAAUGAUUAAUAGGGACAAUUGGGGGCAUUCGUAUUAACGCGUCAGAGGUGGAAUUCUUGGAUUGCGUUACGACGAACUACUGCGAAAGCAUUUGCCAAGGAUGUUUUCAUUAA